GCUUGCGUAGUUUAAUGGGAGAGCACCGCUUCAAAUUAGAGUCUGUUGUCUAUAAAGUUUCCAGUGGAGAUCCGAGUUCGACUCUCGGCGCAAGCG